rnacentral:rRNA from 1 species
AUUGAACGCUGGCGGCAUGCCUUACACAUGCAAGUCGAACGGCAGCGGGGGAGAAGCUUGCUUUUCCUGCCGGCGAGUGGCGAACGGGUGAGUAAUACAUCGGAACGUGCCCUGUAGUGGGGGAUAACUAGUCGAAAGAUUAGCUAAUACCGCAUACGACCUGAGGGUGAAAGUGGGGGACCGCAAGGCCUCAUGCUAUAGGAGCGGCCGAUGUCUGAUUAGCAAGUUGGUGGGGUAAAGGCCUACCAAGGCGACGAUCAGUAGCUGGUCUGGGAGGACGAUCAGCCACACUGGGACUGAGACACGGCCCAGACUCCUACGGGAGGCAGCAGUGGGGAAUUUUGGUCAAUGGGCGAAAGCCUGAUCCAGCAAUGCCGCGUGUGUGAAGAAGGCCUUCGGGUUGUAAAGCACUUUUGUCCGGAAAGAAAUGGCUCUGGUUAAUACCUGGGGUCGAUGACGGUACCGGAAGAAUAAGGACCGGCUAACUACGUGCCAGCCGCCGCGGUAA